GAGCCAUCUCUCUAGCCCCUGAUAUACUUUUAAUAUGCUUCAGGGACUGCAGAGAUGGCACUG
ensembl:miRNA Mir7667 microRNA 7667